CGCGGGAUGGAGCAAUCUGGUAGCUCGCUGGGCUCAUAACCCAGAGGUUGUUGGUUCAAAUCCGGCUCCCGCAACCA
rnacentral:tRNA from 1 species